UACGAAGGGGGCAAGCGUUGUUCGGAAUUACUGGGCGUAAAGGGCGCGUAGGCGGCUUAUCAAGUCAGGCGUGAAAUUCCCGGGCUCAACCUGGGGGCUGCGCUUGAUACUGAUGAGCUUGAAUGCGGGAGAGGAUAGUGGAAUUCCCAGUGUAGAGGUGAAAUGCGUAGAGAUGUGGAGGAACACCAGUGGCGAAGGCGACUCUCUGGGCUGUAACUGACGCUGAGGCGCGAAAGCGUGGGGAGCAAACAGG
rnacentral:rRNA from 1 species